AUUGAACGCUGGCGGCAUGCUUUACACAUGCAAGUCGAACGGCAGCGCGGGGCAACCUGGCGGCGAGUGGCGAACGGGUGAGUAAUAUAUCGGAACGUACACAGAAGUGGGGGAUAACGUAGCGAAAGUUACGCUAAUACCGCAUACGAUCUCAGGAUGAAAGUGGGGGACCUUCGGGCCUCAUGCUUGUGGAUCGGCCGAUAUCUGAUUAGCUAGUUGGUAGGGUAAAGGCCUACCAAGGCGACGAUCAGUAGCUGGUCUGAGAGGACGACCAGCCACACUGGGACUGAGACACGGCCCAGACUCCUACGGGAGGAAGCAGUGGGGAAUUUUGGACAAUGGGCGCAAGCCUGAUCCAGCAAUGCCGCGUGAGUGAAGAAGGCCUUCGGGUUGUAAAGCUCUUUUGUCAGGGAAGAAACGGCGAUUUCUAAUAAAGAUUGCUAAUGACGGUACCUGAAGAAUAAGCACCGGCUAACUACGUGCCAGCCGCCGCCGUAA
rnacentral:rRNA from 1 species